UCUACGGGAGGCAGCAGUGGGGAAUAUUGGGCAAUGGAGGAAACUCUGACCCAGCGACGCCGCGUGCGGGAUGAAGGCCUUCGGGUUGUAAACCGCUUUCAGCAGGGAAGAAGCGAAAGUGACGGUACCUGCAGAAGAAGCACCGGCUAACUAUGUGCCAGCAGCCGCGGUAAUACAUAGGGUGCAAGCGUUGUCCGGAAUUAUUGGGCGUAAAGAGCUCGUAGGUGGUUCGUCACGUCGGAUGUGAAAAUCUGGGGCUUAACCCCAGACCUGCAUUCGAUACGGGCGAGCUUGAGUAUGGUAGGGGAGUCUGGAAUUCCUGGUGUAGCGGUGGAAUGCGCAGAUAUCAGGAGGAACACCAAUGGCGAAGGCAGGACUCUGGGCCAUUACUGACACUGAGGAGCGAAAGCGUGGGGAGCGAACAGGAUUAGAUACCCUGGUAGUCCACGCCGUAAACGGUGGGCACUAGUUGUGGGGACCUUCCACGGUCUCUGCGACGCNGCUACGCAUAGUGCCGCCGCGGAGUACGAGCGCGAGAAGUAAACUACGAAGAAGUAGUUAGGNGUGNGACGNGCGACGGACGACGACGAGGGAGAGG
rnacentral:rRNA from 1 species